UGGGGAAUUUUGGACAAUGGGCGAAAGCCUGAUCCAGCAAUGCCGCGUGUGUGAAGAAGGCCUUCGGGUUGUAAAGCACUUUUGUCCGGAAAGAAAUCCUUGGCUCUAAUACAGUCGGGGGAUGACGGUACCGGAAGAAUAAGCACCGGCUAACUACGUGCCAGCAGCCGCGGUAAUACGUAGGGUGCAAGCGUUAAUCGGAAUUACUGGGCGUAAAGCGUGCGCAGGCGGUUUGCUAAGACCGAUGUGAAAUCCCCGGGCUCAACCUGGGAACUGCAUUGGUGACUGGCAGGCUAGAGUAUGGCAGAGGGGGGUAGAAUUCCACGUGUAGCAGUGAAAUGCGUAGAGAUGUGGAGGAAUACCGAUGGCGAAGGCAGCCCCCUGGGCCAAUACUGACGCUCAUGCACGAAAGCGUGGGGAGCAAACAGGAUUAGAUACCCUGGUAGUCCACGCCCUAAACGAUGUCAACUAGUUGUUGGGGAUCAUUUCCUUAGUAACGUAGCUAACGCGUGAAGUUGACCGCCU
rnacentral:rRNA from 1 species